rnacentral:rRNA from 1 species
UACAGAGGUCCCAAGCGUUGUUCGGAUUCAUUGGGCGUAAAGGGUGCGUAGGUGGCGUCGUAAGUCGGGUGUGAAAUUUCGGAGCUUAACUCCGAAACUGCAUUCGAUACUGCGGUGCUUGAGGACUGGAGAGGAGACUGGAAUUCAUGGUGUAGCAGUGAAAUGCGUAGAGAUCAUGAGGAAGACCAGUGGCGAAGGCGGGUCUCUGGACAGUUCCUGACGCUGAGGCACGAAGGCCAGGGGAGCAAACGGG